CAAGCGAACUCCGGGAAGGAAACCCCUUGGGAUGGCCGGAAUGCGAGCGCCCAUGUCGGCGCCGGCGAGCCCACGUCGCCAUUAAUCUCUCCUAGACGAAACAUCAUGCCGAGCUCAUCCGUGCCUCUUUUGCCCAAGAAGCAAUCUAUCGAACACGUGGUGGGCGUCACCGACCUCGCCGCCGGCCAACGUCUUCACCGCUCCCGUGGACAUCGUUUCGUCCGUUUCUUCGCUUGAGGAAGAAUACGUCGAAGAAGAAGAGGGUGAGUUUGUUGA